rnacentral:misc_RNA from 1 species
UACGUAAGUGGCAAGCGUUGUCCGGAAUCACUGGGUGUAAAGAGCACGUAGGCGGCUUGGUAAGUCUGAGGUGAAAUCCACGAGCUUAACUCGUGAACUGCCUUGGAAACUGCCGAGCUAGAGGACCAGAGGGGAAAGUGGAAUUUCGGGUGUAGCGGUGAAAUGCGUAGAUAUCCGAGAGAACACCGAUGGCGAAGGCAGCUUUCUGGCUGGAUCCUGACGCUGAGGUGCGAAAGCUAGGGUAGCGAACGGG